AAUUAAUUUAAUUUAAGUUUAAUAAUUAAUUGUAUAAUAUUAAUUAUAUAUAAAUUUAAUUUAAUGUAAUUAUUUUUAGAUAAAAAUUAUUUUAAUUAAGAAUUUAAUUUUAGAAUUUAUAUUUAAAAUUAUAAUUAAAGUUAUAUUAGAAAUUUAUUUAAUUAUAAAUAAAUUUAGUGCCAGCAAUUGCGGUUAAACUAUUUAUAAAAAUUAAUUUUUAUAAAUAUUAAAAUUUUUAAAAUUUAAUUUAAUAAUAAAUAUUUAAUUUUUAUUUGUGAAAUGAAUAGAAAAUUAAAAAAUUGAGUUAUUAAUUUUAUGUAAAGAAUUUUAUAAAUUAAUUUAAAAAACUAGGAUUAGGGACCCUAUUAUUAAUAUGAAAAUAAUUUAAUUUGAAUAAUAAAUGUAAAAUCAUUAAAAUUAUUAAAUUUGACGGUUUUUUAAUCUAAUUAGAGGAACUUGUAUUUUAAUUGAUAAUCCACGAUAAGAAAUACUUUAAUUAAUAAUUUAUGUAUUGUUGUUUUAAAAUUUUAUUUAAUAUUUAUUAAAAUUAAAAAAUUUUAUAAUUAUAAUUAAUUAGAAUAAUAAUUCAAAUCAAAAUGUAGUAUAUUAAAGGAAAUUAUGAGUUACAAAUAAUUAAAUUUAAGAAAAUGAAUUUUUAAUAUGUUGAUUGAAAUAGGAUUUAAAAGUAAAUUUAUAUAAUUAUAUAAAUUGAAGAUAGUUUUAAAAAAUGUACAAAUUGCCCGUCAAUUUCGUUUUUAAAUGAAAUAAGUCGUAACAAAGUAAGGGUACUGGAAAGUGUUCUUGGGAUG
rnacentral:ncRNA from 1 species